rnacentral:rRNA from 1 species
CCUACGGGAGGCAGCAGUGGGGAAUAUUGGGCAAUGGGCGAAAGCCUGACCCAGCAACGCCGCGUGAAGGAAGAAGGCCUUCGGGUUGUAAACUUCUUUUGACAGGGAAGAGCAGAAGACGGUACCUGUCGAAUAAGCCACGGCUAACUACGUGCCAGCAGCCGCGGUAACACGUAGGUGGCAAGCGUUGUCCGGAGUUACUGGGUGUAAAGGGCGUGUAGCCGGGCUGACAAGUCAGAUGUGAAAUCCCGGGGCUCAACCCCCGAACUGCAUUUGAAACUGUUGGUCUUGAGUAUCGGAGAGGCAGGCGGAAUUCCAAGUGUAGCGGUGAAAUGCGUAGAUAUUAGGAGGAACACCAGUGGCGAAGGCAGCCUGCUGGGCGACAACUGACGGUGAGGCGCGAAAGCGUGGGGAGCAAACAGGAUUAGAUACCCGGGUAGUC